rnacentral:lncRNA from 1 species
GUAAAUGUCCUACCUGGUUUUCAGUGGCAAAUAUUUGUUUGUCUCUUCCCAAUAAAUUCCUCAUUCCCAGUCAUCGGUAAAUGUCUGGUCAUUCUUUUUGAUGUCGGUAAACAUCAUCUUUCGAUGUCGGUAAACAUCGAGUCUCAUCCCAGUCAUCGGUAAAUGUCUGGUCAUUCUUUGUUCUCUUGUUAAUAAAACCAAAAUCCCCAGAAGUCGUCGGUAA